UACGUAGGGGGCAAGCGUUGUCCGGAAUCAUUGGGCGUAAAGCGCGUGUAGGCGGCCAGGUAAGUCCGUUCUGAAAGCCCGGGGCUCAACCCCGGGAGGCGGAUGGAUACUGCUUGGCUCGAGUCCGGAAGAGGCGAGUGGAAUUCCCGGUGUAGCGGUGAAAUGCGCAGAUAUCAGGAGGAACACCAAUGGCGAAGGCAGCACUCUGGGACGUGACUGACGCUGAGACGCGAAAGCGUGGGGAGCAAACAGG
rnacentral:rRNA from 1 species